rnacentral:rRNA from 1 species
GAUGAACGCUAGCUACAGGCUUAACACAUGCAAGUCGAGGGACCGGCGCACGGGUGAGUAACACGUAUCCAACCUGCCCUUUACUCGGGGAUAGCCUUUCGAAAGAAAGAUUAAUACCCGAUAUAAAGGAUGGGGAUGCGUUCCAUUCGUUUGUUGGUGCGGUAACGGCUCACCAAGCCUUCGAUGGAUAGGGGUUCUGAGAGGAAGGUCCCGCACAUUGGAACUGAGACACGAUACAGACUCCUACGGGAGGCAGCAGGGGGGGAUAGUGGUCAAUGGGCGCUAGCAUGAACCAGCCAAGUAGCGUGAAGGAUGAAGGCUUAUGGGGCGUAAACUUCUUUUAUAUACGAAUAUGUAUGAUAUGAAUAAGGAUCGGCUAACUCCGUGCCAGCCGCCGCGGUAAUAC